GACGAACGCUGGCGGCGUGCUUAACACAUGCAAGUCGUACGGUAAGGCCCUUUCGGGGGUACACGAGUGGCGAACGGGUGAGUAACACGUGAGUAACCUGCCCACAACUUUGGGAUAACGCUAGGAAACUGGUGCUAAUACUGGAUAUGUGCUCCUGCUGCAUGGUGGGGGUUGGAAAGCUCCGGCGGUUGUGGAUGGACUCGCGGCCUAUCAGCUUGUUGGUGGGGUAGUGGCCUACCAAGGCGGCGACGGGUAGCCGGCCUGAGAGGGUGACCGGCCACAUUGGGACUGAGAUACGGCCCAGACUCCUACGGGAGGCAGCAGUGGGGAAUAUUGCACAAUGGGCGCAAGCCUGAUGCAGCAGCGCCGCGUGCGGGAUGACGGCCUUCGGGUUGUAAACCGCUUUCAGCAGGGACGAAGCUUUUUGUGACGGUACCUGCAGAAGAAGCACCGGCGAACUACGUGC
rnacentral:rRNA from 1 species